UACAGAGGUCUCAAGCGUUGUUCGGAUUCAUUGGGCGUAAAGGGUGUGUAGGUGGCGCGCUAAGUCGGGUGUGAAAUUUCGGAGCUUAACUCCGAAACUGCAUUCGAUACUGCGGUGCUCGAGGACUGGAGAGGAGACUGGAAUUCAUGGUGUAGCAGUGAAAUGCGUAGAGAUCAUGAGGAAGACCAGUGGCGAAGGCGGGUCUCUGGACAGUUCCUGACACUGAGACACGAAGGCCAGGGGAGCAAACGGG
rnacentral:rRNA from 1 species